rnacentral:rRNA from 1 species
UGGGGAAUUUUGGACAAUGGGCGAAAGCCUGAUCCAGCAAUGCCGCGUGUGUGAAGAAGGCCUUCGGGUUGUAAAGCACUUUUGUCCGGAAAGAAAUCCUUGGCUCUAAUACAGUCGGGGGAUGACGGUACCGGAAGAAUAAGCACCGGCUAACUACGUGCCAGCAGCCGCGGUAAUACGUAGGGUGCAAGCGUUAAUCGGAAUUACUGGGCGUAAAGCGUGCGCAGGCGGUUUGCUAAGACCGAUGUGAAAUCCCCGGGCUCAGCCUGGGAACUGCAUUGGUGACUGGCAGGCUAGAGUAUGGCAGAGGGGGGUAGAAUUCCACGUGUAGCAGUGAAAUGCGUAGAGAUGUGGAGGAAUACCGAUGGCGAAGGCAGCCCCCUGGGCCAAUACUGACGCUCAUGCACGAAAGCGUGGGGAGCAAACAGGAUUAGAUACCCUGGUAGUCCACGCCCUAAACGAUGUCAACUAGUUGUUGGGGACUUCAUUUCCUUAGUAACGUAGCUAACGCGUGAAGUUGACCGCCUGGGGAGUACGGUCGCAAGAUUAAAACUUAAAUGAAUUGACGGGGUCAUAGCUGUUUCCU